GCCGGUGGUUAUUGCGGGAGGCUCCCACCCGAUCCCAUUCCGAACUCGGUAGUGAAACUUCCCAGCGCCGAUGGUACCUUAUCUUAAGAUACGGAAGAGUAGGUCGCUGCCGGUU
rnacentral:rRNA from 1 species